GCUGAUGAAAACCAUGACAAUUAAAAAAAUGAAAACAAAACCACAAUAAGGUUUUUAGUGUGAGUAUGCCCAGGGGCAUAGAAAGCGGGGUGCGGGGAGUGCGGCUCACCCCGGGUGUCAUCCCUGGGGGGGGGGGGAAUAUGGCACACCGUUGGGGGCAGCACUUACUGGGGGGGCCUGGCCUGCAGUGUGCCCGAGCCAUGCAUCUCUCCUGGGAGUGACGCGGUGGCUUGGGGCCCUGCGCUGCCCAAAAUGGCAGUGUGGGGCUUCCAUCCACCAGGUGGACUCCGUGGGCAGCUCACUGUGCUGCCCCCCCCCCCGGUGGAUUGCCCCGCUCCCACCGCUCCGGGUACCAGAGCAGCUAGCUACCCCCCUGGGUAUGCCCUCCUGAGAUCAUGAUUUUCCUAUGCUAGUGUCGGGGACCGUGCUGAGGAGGGCUGCACUGAGGAGGAUAGUUCGGAGCUCCCCCUCCCCCCAUCCUGAAUCUUCCCAGGAGCAGAAGGACAGUAUAGAUUUGGAACAGUGGUUUGCAGAGGGGCAUAGUUCCAAAGGCAGAAGCUGGGAAAUCCUGGAAGGGGAACAGCUAAGAGAAGAUGCACCGGGAGAGAGAGAGAAAGUGAACAGAUUUGCUGUCUCUGGUAAGCAUCCAUCCGCUCAGCCCAAGGUCAAGAAGAGCAGAUAAGAUGGCAGCACAGAAAGCACAGUGGUUAGGAGCUCAGGUUACAAGACGCGGUAGUGACAUGGGUGAGUAGGGAGGAAGUGGGUGGAACCCUU